UCGAGAAUUUUUCUCAAUGGGCGAAAGCCUGAAGGAGCGACGCCGCGUGGGGGAUGAAUGGCUUCGGCCCGUAAACCCCUGUCAUUUGCGAACAAACCUUUUCACCUAACACGUGAAGAGCUGAUUGUAGCGAAAGAGGAAGGGACGGCUAACUCUGUGCCAGCAGCCGCGGUAAUACAGAGGUCCCGAGCGUUGUUCGGAUUCACUGGGCGUAAAGGGUGCGUAGGUGGUGAGGUAAGUCUGAUGUGAA
rnacentral:rRNA from 1 species